rnacentral:rRNA from 1 species
AGAACGAACGCUGGCGGCAGGCUUAACACAUGCAAGUCGAACGCGUGUAGCAAUACACGAGUGGCGCACGGGUGAGUAACGCGUGGAUAUCUGCCUUUUGGUUCGGAAUAACCCCGGGAAACUGGGGCUAAUACCGGAUGGUUCCUACGGGAUAAAGAUUUAUCGCCAAAAGAUGAGUCCGCGUACGAUUAGCUAGUUGGUGAGGUAAUGGCUCACCAAGGCGACGAUCGUUAGCUGGUCUGAGAGGACGAUCAGCCACACUGGGACUGAGACACGGCCCAAACUCCUACGGGAGGCAGCAGUGGGGAAUAUGGACAAUGGGCGCAAGCCUGAUCCAGCCAUGCCGCGUGAGUGAUGAAGGCCCUAGGGUUGUAAAGCUUCUUUGUGCGGGAAGAUAAUGACGGUACCGCAAGAAUAACGCCCCGGCUAACUUCGUGCCAGCAGCCGC